AUCUGAAAAAGGCUACCUUACCGAAAGGUGAGGACGCAAAAUCACCGGUCUAAGGGGGAUGUUGCCCUAGGACAGCGGGAUUGCCAGA
rfam:Desulfobacterales bacterium GWB2_56_26 gwb2_scaffold_1070, whole genome shotgun sequence.